GUAGUGUUCGUGAGGGAAUAUUAUUUUUUUUCUAUAGUGUGUGUUUGUCCGGCUAAAAUAAUAAAUAGGUGCUUUUCGAACAUUCAUUUUUAAAAAUACAAAUAAUAUCUCAUCAAAUUUGUGACUGUGAAAUCAAAAAUUUAUUUUUUUCCAGGUUUCAUUCGAGUGCUUUGUACUGUACUCGGAAUAUAUUUGAAGCAUACUAUACCUUUAAAAAAUAUGAAACGCGAUACCUAACCACCCAACUACUCUUUGGAUGACUGGAUUAACUACCUACCACGAGAAAACUUACUCCUCAAAACACAACCAUCGGUCUAUAGGAGACCGGAAUACAGGUGUUGUAUACAUUCCAGGACUGAGUGAUCGAGGUACCCAAGUCCAUUGAUCGAGUUCUUUUUUCUUAGUUCCAACUGCAUACAAUACAGAUAACUAUCUACUGAUAAGGCUAACUUCAAUAUCCGACUUGUCAAAUUGGUCUUGGUGGUUAAACUUUUAUAUUAAAUAUUUUAACCAUUUUCGAUAAUAAUAUUUAACACUACGUUUUAAAAAUGCACAAGUGUAUAGUGUGCUUCAAUACAUCUAAUAACACCGAAGUCAAUCAUUCAGCAGUUAUUUAUCAUGGAAUUCUCAAGAAUGAAUGUAUUCACAUGAAAAGAAAAUGGCGUAAAGUUUUGGGAAUUGAUCGUUGUUAUGAUUGGCAAAAAAUAUGUAGUGAUUAUUUUUUAGAAGAAAACUAUAAUUCAGGACUAAAGCGAUUUUUAUUUUAAAUGCUAUUACCUAAUCUUAUGAUCGAAAUGUUAUGCUACUCAAAGUAAUGAUGUUGAAACUGAAAACAUAUAAUUUUACCAAUGGAACAAAAUAUUAUAAGGACCAUACUUAAAGAUCUGGAUUUCGAUGUUCCAUUAAAAACUGCUUUAACAGGCUUUCAAAGAAUCUCAGUCUCUUUGGCAUUCCUAAGGAUUUCACGUUGAGAAAAAAGUGGAUAGAAAAAUGUGGAAUAAAAAAAGCUCCUGCUAAAAUAGUGAUAAGUGCUACAAGAGUUUGUAGUACUCAUUUUGAACUAAAUUGUUUCAGGCAUACUGAAUUAAAAAAAAAGAUUAAAACUGGGUGCUGUUCCAUCAUUAUUUUUAGAUAAUGCACCUAAUGCUUUGCCAGUGUCAAUUAAUGAGUUGCCUGUAUUGAGUACAUGUGAAGAUCAAUUCAUAAGUCCAAUAGAUAAUGAAGCUGCUGAACAAUCAUUGUCAGAAGAAAAAAAACAAUG